CUAGGCUUCUUCCGCCCAAGAUGGUGGCCCAGCAGCAGCUCAGUCCAAGCUGGUGAAGCAAACUCCUCUGUCCACUCUGGUCCUGUGUCCACAAGGAGCCAACUCCCUGAGGAAUUCAUGAGCAGCCCCACCAAUGUGCUUGCUGACAGGUACUCUGUGUCCUCCUGGCAUCCUGGGGCCCUGCUGCAGGAAGAGGCCCCUCUAAUGCCAAGGUCCCACUCCUCCUCGAGGCUUGAUAGAUCUUUUUCUCAAGACUGGAAAGCACUGAGCUGAUCCUGGGAAGACAGGCUCGAAGUCAUUCUAUCCAUGGGGAGGCUGUGAGGAAGGCAGAGCUGGGAGCCCGCUCCUGCCAGGUCAGCUGGAAGCUCUGGGCCCUGCAGCCAGCAGCUUCCAGGUAAGAGAUCUUCCCACAGAGCAUUGGGGAAAGACUCUGGCCCCGUGCUAGCAACGUG
rnacentral:lncRNA from 1 species